GACCGCUCCGGGAGCCUAGUAGUUAGAGCGUCGACCUCAGAUGUUGAAGGUCACUGGUUCAAAUCCCGACCGAGUCA